rnacentral:rRNA from 1 species
GCACCAGACUCCUACGGGAGGCAGCAGUGAGGAAUAUUGGUCAAUGGGCGGAAGCCUGAACCAGCCAAGUCGCGUGAGGGACUAAGGCCCUGCGGGUCGUAAACCUCUUUUGCCGGGGAGCAGUGGUCCGGACGCGUCCGGACCGGGAGAGUACCCGGAGAAAAAGCAUCGGCUAACUCCGUGCCAGCAGCCGCGGUAAUACGGAGGAUGCGAGCGUUAUCCGGAUUUAUUGGGUUUAAAGGGUGCGUAGGCGGAAGGUUAAGUCAGCGGACAAAUGUCGGUGCUCAACACCGGCCUGCCGUUGAAACUGGUCUUCUUGAGUGAGCGAGAAGUAUGCGGAAUGCGUGGUGUAGCGGUGAAAUGCAUAGAUAUCACGCAGAACUCCGAUUGCGAAGGCAGCAUACCGGCGCUCAACUGACGCUGAGGCACGAAAGCGUGGGGAUCGAACAGGAUUAGAUACCCGAGUA